UGCCAGCCGCCGCGGUAAUACGGAGGGGGCUAGCGUUGCUCGGAAUUACUGGGCGUAAAGGGCGCGUAGGCGGAUUUCCCAGUCAGGCGUGAAAGCCCCGGGCUCAACCCGGGAACUGCGUUUGAUACUAGAAAUCUUGAGUUCUGGAGAGGGUGGUGGAAUUCCCAGUGUAGAGGUGAAAUUCGUAGAUAUUGGGAAGAACACCAGUGGCGAAGGCGGCUAACUGGCUCGGUACUGACGCUGAGAUGCGAAAGCGUGGGGAGCAAACAGGAUUAGAUA
rnacentral:rRNA from 1 species